rnacentral:misc_RNA from 1 species
GUUUCCUUAGCUGCAUCAUCAGAGAGUUCAUCUGCAGUAAUGAGGUCUCGAUUGAUUUCACAGAUGGUAACUUCACCUGGUUGAGGAAUUGACGGCAUGUUUUUCAAGCAACAGAGAGAGAGACAGGGUUUAUGGUUUCUAUUUUGGGUUGAUUUCUGUCAGCUCUUCACCUUCUCUAAACAUGCCUUGCAAAAGGGACAACUUCAAUAAGAAAACCAGCCAGCAAUCAAG